AGCAGAUUGGCAUGAGCAUGGGGUUGCUUUCACCAGGAGCAGGGAGAUGCAGAGGCUGACAGGCACUGCAGACACCUGCAGCAGGGAGCUCAGCCUUGCUCCAGUUUCCAACAGCACGUGGCAGAAAUGUCCAUCACCUCCCUGACCUCUGUGCAAACCGGAGCGAGUCAGCGUCUCUAAAAUAAGACUGGGAUGCCUGCAGGCAAUGGGCAAAUGCAGAGCUGGGGACAGCUCCUUGUCUUUAAAAAGCACAUCGAUUUCUGCAGUCCUAUCUCCAUUUACACAACUGGGAGAUUUGGCCUUGUGCCUUUCUAGGAGAAGCACAGUGUAUUUGGGGCUAUUUUCUUUCUUUCUCAACAGGAUUCCUCCGUCUCUCGUCUCACAGUGAACACACAAAGGACUGCGACAAGAAACUCAGAGACAAUAGAGGACCCCAACAGCAUACAUUAUUAACAAUGCCUGCAUUCCUUAGUGUCCUUGCUGCUAAAAUUAACACAGCCCGUGUGGCAUCCUGCCAGAGUGAGCAUGGUGCACGUCAUAAAGAAUACAGAAGAUGGAGAAGAGAUUCAGUGUGGCUCUUCACACCGUGGCUCAUAUUAGAAAGCAAGAUGGGACUCCUGCAUUUCAUUUGUCGGAUCUCACCUGCAAAGCAUCUAUCGGUCCUCAGGAAAGCAGGAAGAAAUAAAACAUCCACUGUAAGAAAUGCACCAUCAAGACAGGACUCCCAGUUUGUUGCAAGGAAUAAAGGAGAAAGGGAACAUCUGAGAUCCAAAACUGAUCUGCAUGAGAACAAGCAAAGCAGGAUAUUGGAUUGUUAGGCAUGGUUAAGCCUUCAGUGGAGGUAAUUUGCCACUUUCUUCUCUAGACCAGUGGGAAAGAAGCUAUGCUAUCUAUGGGAAGGAGUUAUAAUCUUACAGAAGGGAUGGCAUUUGCUGAUACCACAGCAUUAUGGCAAGAUGCUAGACAAAUUCUCUCUAAAACUCAUUAACCAUAGAUCAGGGUCAAUGGCUACGAUGUUUGGUAAAGCUCCAUUGCCUGCUUCCAGACAACUAUCACCCUGAAAAGGAUUUCUGUCUAAUUUUGGGCUGGCAGGACUAAAUUCAUCUGAAUUUCUCAAGUGAUUUCAGCAAAAUUACACUGAAUUUGACAUUGGCCAAUCUUUUCUUCUAAAUAUUCUUCUCAGAGAGAUUAGCAAGACCUUGGCUUUAUCCUCCUGUCACGAGACCGCUCCAGUUCCAUCUUCUCCAGUAAUUACAGGAAAUAAUUUUCUGGCAGUUGACCUCUUUGCUCUUAAUCUCUUUGUCUGAUCAUCACAUUAGCCGUUUUCUCCUGAAUUUCCCUGCCUUGGUGGUAUGCAAUAGAUCUCCAUUGUGGGGGUGUUCCUGGUUUGUUUUGUUUUGUUUUUCUUCUUCUCUAACACAAAUGGCCAGUUCAUUUUCAUUCCUCUGCAGCUGAUACCUAACUUUAUUUCUUAUUCCACAUCACAUUGCCCUGCAGAGCUCUCUAUGAACUUCCAUGGCCUUCUACCACUGGUAAUUGAAUAUCCCUAAUUUUUGUAAUAUUCUUCCCCUUUGUACUGAGGAAGUGAGAUGACCCUCACUUUCUGCUAGAGUGCUUUCCAUACGUGAUCUGCACUUGCUCUGAACAAGAGGCUUUGUCUCUUGCAGCAAAAAUACAUGCAAUCUGGGAUACAUUCAGUCACUGUGUAAGAAAGAUUUGUCAGGUAAUUUCAUGUAGCCUCUGCAGCACUGUUCUGAUUAGAAAUUGCCCCAGUUGGAAACUAACUUAAUUUGGAAACUAAGGGUGUCUAUAAGCCUGGUAAGCCUGGUACUUGCAGGCAUCAAAGGACAGUGGCUUGUUGGCUUGAAAGCUUGGUAGACAACAAGCAGAAACACAAAAAAGGGAACUCUUAGAGAAAAAAACAUUAGUACAUAGUGAGGUGAAAUUAUUACCUGGCCUGGUAUACCUUGAGGGAAACAAACCCUGUGUAGGCAAUAUUGAACUAUGAGUAUAGAGGAAGGAAGAUAGCAAUCAUCAUGUAUCAACUCAGCUGGAUGGGAUAAUCUACUGACAGCCACCAUUGUGGAUGAGAUUUCCUGUUGUCAGUCUUCACAUCACACAAAUAGGGUACAAAUACUGGCAUGUGUCUCAGGUGAGAUGUGUCUAAUCUCAAGUAUCUGCUGAUGGCUGUGUUUUAUUAUUCUGACCCAGAAAGAGCUCUCUUUUACCUGUAGUAUUUACCAGUUCACACUAGCUUAACUAUUUAUUUUACCAUUACAUGAAAAACUCAGGUUCAACUUUGCCUUAUGGGGAAAAAACUACCCAACUAUUUGGUUUUAAAGAGUCCUCUCUGCCAAACUUGACUCAAGUUAGCAUUCAGUUAAUCCUUGUAAAGCACAGGCUGGGGUAAGAACAUGCAACACAGGAAAAUAUAGUAUUCUAAGGAUAUCUUAAUCUGACACAGAAAGUAAUAUUUGUAGGAACGCACUUGAGGGAUGUUUGUACCACAAGCACUACAGGAAUUUUGCUUUCACUCUAAGAUUUUGAAGGCUCUCGGUUAAAUGUGUCUAUUCACUUGUAAUAUAUAUGCAGUUCUGCUUAGGAACACUUGAACCUUUCAGUGAUAGACUAAUCUCUGGCUGCUUGCCAUAUAUUUUUAAUAAAGCCUGGACAAAGCAACA
rnacentral:lncRNA from 1 species